CUGCCUUUUAACUCAACAUUCGCGGGAAGCGAUGAGUAUACCUAUACUGCAAUAUGCUGACAAGUUCUCAUGUUAAAUUGUUCUCUCUUUAUUCUUUACUGUGUAAUAUGUCAUUACGUUUGCAUUGAAUUUCAGCAUAAUUGACUCUAAAACUUAGUUAAGUUAUAUGCCUUAACUCAUUUCUUUUUUACUAGAAUUGUCUGAAUAAUAUAUGCUUAAGGAGUAGAUACUAUGAAAAUGUGGCAAUGCAUAAUUGUACACGCCUGAUAUGAAGUGCAUAGUGCGACAUGGACCCUUUCAGUUGUGCCUAUUAGCCUGGUUUUCCGUGAUCGCUCACGAUCACCAUGUGUCACUUAGUACAGAUUCUGAUUUUAAUUGCGGGUGAAAUUCUAAACCCAGUACUCCUGUACUUGGAUUGAUGUCAAUAAAAUGGUAGAUUAACAUCAUUACACCUAGUACAUGCAGCAUUAUAAGUGCAAUUACCGCCUAUCUGACUAUGAGCGAUUAAACUAACUUAAAACCGCGUAACAAUAUACUACCAAUCCCAACUUACUUAUUAGAAGGCAUGAGCGUACGCGCUUGUAUCACCAAAAAGUUUAUUAAACAUAGUAUUUUUCUUUAGCUUACUUUAUGUUCCUUCCUUGGAUAAAUUCUAAUCUAUGACUUUAAAACGACAAAAAACGUUGCAGCUGCAUGCACCAUGUCGCAGGUACACGUUCCCAAAUAUUAGCUUUCACACGUGCAUAUGCUCUGAC